rnacentral:rRNA from 1 species
UACAGAGGGGGCAAGCGUUGUUCGGAAUUACUGAGCGUAAAGGGCGCGUAGGCGGCCUUCUAAGUCGAACGUGAAAUCCCCGGGCUCAACCCGGGAACUGCGUCCGAUACUGGGAGGCUUGAAUCCGGGAGAGGGAUGCGGAAUUCCAGGUGUAGCGGUGAAAUGCGUAGAUAUCUGGAGGAACACCGGUGGCGAAGGCGGCAUCCUGGACCGGCAUUGACGCUGAGGCGCGAAAGCCAGGGGAGCAAACGGG